rnacentral:misc_RNA from 1 species
AGGGUCUGGCAGUGAUCCUGGCACUAGUCAUAAUGUUGAAAGGCAGGCAAUACAAAGAAAUGGUCGUAGGCACUCAGCCAGUCGCUGGCUGUUGUCUCCAAAGUCACAAUGGAAUUAUGUGCCAAAUGGUUUCCAUGCAAGUCUGAAUUCUCAGGCACCAAAACUUGGCAGCAUGCAGAAGCAUGGAAAUCACAGGGACUCAAAACCAGUGCAUUCAAUCAAUGGCAACAGAAAGUGGAGCCGAAAACCUAAACCAGAUUA